CGCGUAGACGGUUUUGUAAGUCAGAUGUGAAAUCCCUGGGCUCAACCUGGGAACUGCAUUUGAAACUGCAUGGCUAGAGUAUGGUAGAGGGAAGUGGAAUUUCCGGUGUAGCGGUGAAAUGCGUAGAUAUCGGAAGGAACACCAGUGGCGAAAGCGACUUCCUGGACCAAUACUGACGUUCAUGUGCGAAAGCGUGGGGAGCAAACAGGGUUAGAUACCCUGGUAGUCCACGCCAUAAACGAUGACAACUAGAUGUUGGGAGGGUCUGCCUCUCGGUGUCGCAGCUAACGCGUUAAGUUGUCCGCCUGGGGAGUACGGCCGCAAGGUUGAA
rnacentral:rRNA from 1 species